UGGCGCAGUGGUUACGCAUUUGGCUGCUAACCAAAAGGUCGGCAGUUCGAAUCCACC
rfam:Loxodonta africana unplaced genomic scaffold scaffold_1, whole genome shotgun sequence.